GAUGAACGCUGGCGGCGUGCUUAAUACAUGCAAGUCGAGCGAAUUGACAGAGGUGCUUGCACCUCUCGAUUUUAGCGGCGGACGGGUGAGUAACACGUGGGUAACCUACCUAUAAGACUGGGAUAACUUCGGGAAACCGGAGCUAAUACCGGAUAAUAUUUAGCUUCGCAUGAAGCAAUAGUGAAAGACGGUUCUGCUGUCACUUAUAGAUGGACCUGCGGUGUAUUAGCUAGUUGGUGAGGUAACGGCUCACCAAGGCAACGAUACAUAGCCGAACUGAGACGGGGAUAGGCCAAACGGGGACUGGGACACGGCCCAGACUCCUACGGGAGGCAGCAGUAGGGAAUCUUCCGCAAUGGACGAAAGUCUGACGGAGCAACGCCGCGUGAGUGAAGAAGGUUUUUGGAUCGUAAAACUCUGUUGUAAGGGAAGAACAAGUACGUUAGUAACUGAACGUACCUUGACGGUACCUUACCAGAAAGCCACGGCUAACUACGUGCCAGCCGCCGCCGUAAAAC
rnacentral:rRNA from 1 species